rnacentral:rRNA from 1 species
GGAUGGAUGUUUAUGCCAGGGCUCGGAUGGAUUUUUGUCAUUGAGGCCAAUUUAUUUUUGGCAUUGGACAGGCAUCUGGAUUGGAUUUAUUGUCAUUUGAUGGCCAAUUUUAUGUUUUCUGCAUUUGGUACAGGCAUCUGUAAUUUGAUUUGNUGGUUUUGGAUCUGUUUAAUUGGGCGACGACCUUUAUUUACUGGAACCAAUGGUGUACAAAGUUCAGAAUAUGAAACUUUGUUAAAGGACUUGUAAGUGCAAAGAUACAAUUCAAGGUUUAAUGGCAGCUGUUUUGUUCAUUAUGUAAGCAGUGUUUUAGUGACCUUAUAAUUAAUUUAACAGAUAAAAGCUACUCAAAGGAUAACAGGCUUAAUAUGUUAGAUAGCUCACAUUAAAUAAAUGGUUUGGCACCUCGAUGUCGGCUUAUCUUAUCCAAAAUCUGUAGGCUUUGGUUUAUUGGUAGGAGUGCUCAUCCUAUAAUAAGGUACGUGAGCUGGGUUCAGAACGAUGUAAAUCAGUUUGGUCUAUAUCUUUAACAAUUAUAAAAAUGGGUAUGGAGUAGUUUGUUCAGUACGAAAGGACCAACAGACAAUAGCAGAAGAUGAAUUUUGUGUUGUAGUGGUAUUACUGUUCUAGGUCUAAGUAUUAGAUAAGUGAUUAUCGCAUUCCUAACG